AGUCUUAUAGUCAAAAUUUAAUGAUUUUAAAUUGCAAAUUUAAAGGUGGACUCUCCUAAGGCUU
rnacentral:tRNA from 1 species